UACGUAGGGGGCGAGCGUUGUCCGGAUUUAUUGGGCGUAAAGAGCGUGUAGGCGGCCAGGUAGGUCUGCUGUGAAAACUCGAGGCUCAACCUCGAGACGUCGGCGGAAACCAUCUGGCUAGAGUCCGGAAGAGGAGAGUGGAAUUCCUGGUGUAGCGGUGAAAUGCGCAGAUAUCAGGAAGAACACCGGUGGCGAAAGCGCUCUGCUGGACCUAAACUGACACUGAGGGACGAAAGCUAGGGGAGCGAAUGGG
rnacentral:rRNA from 1 species